rnacentral:lncRNA from 1 species
GGCAGAAAAGCAAGCUGCCCGACAAGGAGGGCCCCAUUUGCGCGCUCGACUGCACAAGUAUAACUUUGGGAUCAUGACGCCAAAGAGGCCCCCCAAACUCGGCCUCCUUCUCUUUGGCGCUCUCCUGCUUCUCGGCUUCUGUCUCGACGCAGUGAAGGCAUGCGACCAGCUGGAGUGCCGUCGCCGCUGCCGCAGUGCCGAGGCUCACUGGGGCACCUGUGUUCAUGGCUCGUGUAUUUGUGGAGACGUGGAAACGGUGACACCACAUCACGUCCCGCCUUCCUUUAUACGCGUGCCAGGUUAGAAGCAAGAGCCUCAGCUGACACCUUUGGUUGAAACCAUUUAAAAGAAAUAAACAUCUCCAGGUUUACGCCAGUCAGAAAACCUCAAGGAGAGCAAAACUGUCUAAAGGAGUCAGUGAAUAAACUAAUAAAAGCUCA